rnacentral:rRNA from 1 species
GUCGAACGGCAGCACGGGGGCAACCCUGGUGGCGAGUGGCGAACGGGUGAGUAAUGCAUCGGAACGUGCCCAUCGAUGGGGGAUAACUGCGCGAAAGCGUUGCUAAUACCGCAUACGACCUACGGGUGAAAGCAGGGGACCGCAAGGCCUUGCGUCGAUGGAGCGGCCGAUGCCGGAUUAGCUAGUUGGUGAGGUAAAGGCUCACCAAGGCGACGAUCCCGUAGCUGGUCUGAGAGGACGACCAGCCACACUGGGACUGAGACACGGCCCAGACUCCUACGGGAGGCAGCAGUGGGGAAUCUUGGACAAUGGGCGAAAGCCUGAUCCAGCAUGCCGCGUGUGGGAAGAAGGCCUCGGGUUGUAAACCACUUUUGGCGGGAAAGAAAUGGUCUGUGCUAAUACCACGGAUUGAUGACGGUACCCGCAGAAUAAGCACCGGCUAACUACGUG